rnacentral:tRNA from 1 species
AAUGAAGUGCCUGAUAAAAGGGUUAUUUUGAUAGAAUAAAACAUGUACGUCCAUACCUUCAUUU